CCUACGGGUGGCAGCAGUGAGGAAUAUUGGUCAAUGGGCGCGAGCCUGAACCAGCCAAGUCGCGUGCGGGAAGACGGUCCUAUGGUUUGUAAACCUCUUUUGUCGGGGCGCAAAAGACGCCACGCGUGGCGUUCCGAGAGUACCCGAAUCAAAAGCAUCGGCUAACUCCGUGCCCGAAGCCGCGGUAAUACGGAGGAUGCGAGCGUUAUCCGGAUUUAUUGGGUUUAAAGGGUGCGCAGUCGGACGAUCAAUGAAGCGGGAAAAUUGAGAGGCUCAACCACUUCGAGCAGUUGAAACUGGUUUUCGUGAGUGAGUGAGAAGGAUGGGGAAUGCGUGGUGUAGCGGUGAAAUGCAUAGAUAUAACGCAGAACUCCGAUGGCGAAGGCAGCAUACCGGCGCUGAACUGACGCUCAUGCACGAAAGUGUGGGUAUCGAACAGGAUUAGAUACCCCAGUAGUC
rnacentral:rRNA from 1 species